rnacentral:rRNA from 1 species
AUCUAUAUAAAUUUACUCUCAAAUCCACCUUCAACUAAUUUUUCAUAUUAAUAUUCAUAUUAAAUAAAUUUAAUGUAACUCAUUACUACUUAAAUAUAAGCUACACCUUGAUCUGAAAUAAAAUUUAAUAUAAAUUAUUGAAAAUUAUUAUUCUUAUAAAAUAUUCUGAUAACGACGGUAUAUAAACUGUUUUACAAACUUAAGUAAGGUCCAACGGGGAUUAUCAAUUAUAGAACAAGUUCCUCUGAAUAGACUAAAAUACCGCCAAAUUUUUUAAGUUUCAAGAACAUAACUAUUAC